CUGUCUCCCACUCAGGCUCUCUCUAUCUCUUUCUAUCUCCCUCUCUUAAAAAUAAAAUAAAUGUUAAAAAUGUGUUUAAAAUGUGACUUAGAUUAUUUUCCUUUUCUGCAGUACCUAAAAGGAGGGUAGGAGGGCGUGGUAUCUCAGGACACAGAGGUACAAUUCUGAACUCCAAUUUCUAAUCUGGAGUUGUGUCUGGAAAAAUCAGGUGAGGGAAUUAAAUCCUACCCUGAGAAUAUUCCCCUUGUCAGGUAUCGUCUUAGGUAUGUUUGAGAGUGUUUUGUUAUUGUUUUUGUUUUUGAGCGGUCAUGAAAUUAUCAGACUUACAUGAAAACAUUUCAGAAAUUGAGAAGAUUUUGAAAAGGUAGAGAAUAGAAUCCCGCUAAGGAAAUGAAAUAUCCUGUAUGUAACACUCCACACUAAGUCCAAAAGAUAAACUCUGGUUAAUAUAGGUGGGUUACAUAUAGAUCAAUACCAGCCUUUGUAAGAAGGAUAUAAGUCUUAUUUGGCUGAAGGCUUAAUGUCAGACAACAGAGAGUGAGGGAGGACAAGAAUGCCAAUGUGAGCGAAGCCAGCCUGAUGAGGAAUAGAACCAGUGAGGGAGACAAGAACAUUCUCACUCUUCCAUGAACUUGACGCAUCCCACCUACAAGCUGCAUUUGCGCUUCAAGAAGGACAUUCCCGAACUAAUUUAAACACAUCCAGAGAAGAAGGAUGACGGUGGGCUAGGAGAUCAUCUCCUAUGAGGAUCAUUUGAGAGAACUGAGGAGACUCCUCUCUACCAGGAGGUAUUUGCUCAAUGGAUGAACGUAUAAAUGAAUUACAAAGCAGGCAGCUUGUUUUCAACACUUCAGUGAGAUUUCUAAAUGGACCACUCAUUUAAUAUAAGAAAAUGUCUAAAGUCCUGGACAACGGCCGACCCACUGAAUUUAUCACAUCGUAAAAAGCGAACUUGACUGUUACUUCAUGGAGACGUGGUGGAGAGCCCAGCAGAGUCUCAGCCUCUGUGUCUGGUCCCAUCUCCCAAGCCCUGCAGUGAGGGAGGGAGGCCAGCCUUUGUGUAGAGGGAGGCCCUGUGCAUGAAUAUGGACACAGGAGCUCAGGAAACCUGUGUCCUCCCCGGUGUCGUCAACAAUCCCGCUGUGUGACCUUGGGUAAGCAUUUUGACUUCUUUUAGAUUUUGUUUUAUCAGGUUAAAUUGAAAAUAAUGCUAUUUACCAUGCAGGAGAUUUGUAAAGAUUUAAUAAUGCAAUAUUUAAAAUGAAUACUGAAAUUUAGGUCUGGGUUUUCUGAACUGUAGAUUUGAUCCAACACACCAUUACUUUGUUGUUGUUUCUGUUGUUAAUGUGUAAUGCAGAAUUAAGGAUUAAGGGGCCAACAUCAACCCAAACAGCAUUUAGGUACUUUUUCUUCAAUAUACAAUUAAAAAUAAGUGUUAGUAGUGGUAAUAAUAGCAAUUCAAGAUGAUGAAACAUGAUAGGUAGACAAAUAAUGUGAUAAAUUGAGAGUUUUAUAUUUUCUUGGCAGUUUUUCAAUGUGAUUUACAAAGCUGUAUUUUUUUUGGAACACCAUUUUUUUGUUUGUUUCUAAGAAAAAUAUGUAAUUUCAACAUUUCUCCUUAUUCUCGUUUGAUAUCAACAUCGUCACGGACCUCUCAUGCCCUCUUUUUGCAGAAAGAAAGUAGAUACAUAUUAAUGUCAUUCUGUGUCAUCCGUGUGUUCGGAGGGGUGAGGGGGUAUUCCCUAGGGCCUUCAUAUUUGUGUCAAGAGUAUAUAAAACUGUUAUUAUUGUCCAUUUAUUUUGAUACUUGGUUAUACUAUCUUUUUAAACAAAUUUUAAUGUUUAUUUAUUUUGAGAGAGACACAGAGGGACCGAGCGUGAACGGGGGAGGGGCAGAAAGAGAGAGGGAGACACAGAAUCUGAAGCAGACUCCAGGCUCUGAGCUGUCAGCACAGAGCCCAAAGGAGGGCUCAAACUCACAGACUGGGAGUUGGUGACCCAAGCCGAAGUCAGACGCUUGGCCUGAGCCACCCUGGCACCCCUUGGUUAUGCUAUAUUUAAUUUAGAUGACACAGACUGAAUUUUUUCCUCUGCAGUUUUGUGGGAUUUCUCAGAGGCAAGUGAAAGUAGAAAGUUAAGGGGAUUCCACAGUGUCUGUCAGACCUCUAGAGAUCGCAAGGCCCCACCAUGCCUGCAAAUGACCUCAGGGUUGUGGGAUCGAGCCCUGCAUGGAGCCCUGCAUCUACUUAAGAUUCUCUCUCUCUCUUUCUCUCUCUCUCUGCCUCUGCUCCUCCCCCACUCUCUCACUCUCCUCUCUCUCUUUCUCAAAUAAACAAAUAAAUAAAAGCCCUUGAAGCCCCCAGAUGCUAAUCUGAAUGAUGGAAAAAAAUAAAUGCUGGGUGGGGGGCACUACGAAAUUCAUGACUUCAGUGCAAUUUUGAAGAGCUUUAAAAAUAACUUAGUAAGUACUAUUUGUCCAGGCAGGCAAUACACUACAGAUACAGCUUGUAGAAUGCAGAGUUAACAUUCAAAUUAAAAAUCAGUAUCGGGGCGCCU